CGAAAUCUACCUUUCCGUCCGGGAUAACUAGCCGAAAGGUUAGCUAAUACCAGAUGCGCUCAUCGAACGGCAUCGUUUGAUGAUGAAAGCAGCAAUGCGCGGAUUGAGGAGCCUGCGGCCCAUUAGCUAGUUGGUGAGGUAACGGCCCACCAAGGCAACGAUGGGUAGCUGGUCUGAGAGGACGACCAGCCACACUGGGACUGAGACACGGCCCAG
rnacentral:rRNA from 1 species